AGGAUGAACGCUGGCGGUCUGCUUAACACAUGCAAGUCGAACGGAGUAGCAAUACUUAGUGGCGGACGGGUGAGUAACGCGUGAGAAUCUACCUUCAGGACGGAGACAACAGUUGGAAACGACUGCUAACCCCCGAUGUACUGAAAAGGCAAAUAUUUAUAGCCUGAAGAAGAGCUCGCGUCCGAUUAGCUAGUUGGAGAGGUAAAAAGCUCACCAAGGCGACGAUCGGUAGCUGGUCUGAGAGGACGAUCAGCCACACUGGGACUGAGACACGGCCCAGACUCCUACGGGAGGCAGCAGUGGGAAUUUUCCGCAAUGGGCGAAAGCCUGACGGAGCAAGACCGCGUGGGGGAAGAAGGCUCUUGGGUUGUAAACCCCUUUUCUCUGGGAAGAACACAAUGACGGUACCAGAGGAAUCAGCAUCGGCUAACUCCGUGCCAGCAGCCGC
rnacentral:rRNA from 1 species